rnacentral:rRNA from 1 species
UACGUAGGGUGCGAGCGUUAAUCGGAAUUACUGGGCGUAAAGCGUGCGCAGGCGGUUCGUUGUGUCUGAUGUGAAAGCCCCGGGCUCAACCUGGGAAUGGCAUUGGAAACUGGCGAGCUAGAGUGUGGGAGAGGAAUGCGGAAUUCCAGGUGUAGCGGUGAAAUGCGUAGAUAUCUGGAGGAACACCGGUGGCGAAGGCGGCAUUCUGGACCAUAACUGACACUGAGAGACGAAAGCCAGGGGAGCAAACGGG